CUUCACCAGCCGUCCCGCAUUUCCGGGGUUGCUGAGGAUCUGUCGUAGUGGUUGAUCAGUUAAGAGGGUGACAGAAUGGGCCUGGAAAUAGGGGCGAAGUCUCCUGGUCGCGGUCAGCAGCGCGAAGGCGAUCUUCUCAGCCUUCGUAUACCGCGUCUCGGCAUCCCGUAGGACCCGGCUGAUGUAGUACACGGGCUUCUGGAGCUUUGCCUCUUCCCGAACCAGCACCGCACUGACCGCGGUUGGGG
rnacentral:lncRNA from 1 species